UUUGAGUGCUGGAAUUUAAUUAAUUAAGGAUAUCAAUAUUACUUUUUUUUUUUGAUUUUAAUUUUAGGGGGAUAAGCUCUAUUUUUAUAAAAUUUUUUUUUAUUUUUUAUUUGUAGGAUUUGUAUUUUUCCACAUUUUAAUUUUUAAAAAAAUGUUUUUUAUUGUUUUUUUAUUUAAUUUUUUAUUGGGCCUUAUUAUUUAACUUUUUUUAUUUUUACAAAGAUUUAAUUUGUAAAAAUAAAAAUUUUUUUUAUGAAAUUGGCAAAAAUUUUUUUUCCCCGUUUUUUAAAAACAAUUUUUUUUGUUUUUUUUGGGGGUUUGGCCCGGUCAAAGAUAAUUUUAAAUAACCCCCGUUUUUUAACUGGGCCAAGGGAGCCUAAUAAAUUGUUUUUUAAAUGGGGUUUGGAAAGAAAGGUUUGGCGGAAAAAACCCCUUUUUUUUUAAAUUUUUUUGAAAUUUUUUUUUGGGGUAAAAUUUUCAAAUUUUUUAGAGGGGCGGUAAGACCCCUUAGAUUUUUAAAAAAUUUUUUUUUUUUUUUUUUUUGUUGUUUUUAAUUAAAGUUUUUUUGUAUUUUUUGGUUGGGGUGAUAAACAAAAAUUUAAACUUUGUUUUUUUUUUACAUUUAUUUAUGGUUUUUUGGAUCCUUUAUUAUUGAUUUAAAGAUAAAGAUACCUUAGGGAUAACAGCGUUAUUUAUUUGGAGAGUUCUUAUCGAUAAGA
rnacentral:rRNA from 1 species